GACGAAGGAUGCAAGCGUUAUCCGGAUUCAUUGGGUUUAAAGGGAGCGUAGGCGGCCUUGUAAGUCAGUGGUGAAAUCUCGCAGCUUAACUGCGAAACUGCCAUUGAUACUGCAGGGCUUGAGUACAGAUGCUGUGGGCGGAAUAUGACAUGUAGUGGUGAAAUACAUAGAGAUGUCAUAGAACACCGAUUGCGAAGGCAGCUCACAAAAACUGUAAACUGACGCUGAGGCUCGAAAGUGUGGGGAGUCAAA
rnacentral:rRNA from 1 species